rnacentral:rRNA from 1 species
GAUGAACGCUGGCGGCGUGCCUAACACAUGCAAGUCGAGCGAACAGACGAGGAGUUUGCUCCUCUGACGUUAGCGGCGGACGGGCGAGCAACACGUGGAUAACCUACCUAUAAGACUGGGAUAACCCCGGGAAACUGGAGCUAAUAUCGGAUAAUAUAUUGAACCGCAUGGUUUAAUAGUGCAAGACGGCUUUGCUGUCACUUAUAGAUGCAUCCGCGCCGCAUUAGCUAGUUGGUACGGUAACGGCUUACCACGGCCACCAUGCGUAGCCGACCUGAGAGGAUGAUCGGCCACACUAGAACUGCGACAGUGUCCGGACUCCUACGCGAGGCCGCAGUAGGGAAUCUUCCGCAAUGGGCGAGAGCCUGACGGAGCGAGGCCGCGUCAGUGCUGAAGGUCUCCGGGUCGUAACCCUCUGUUGUGAGGCAAGAACACAUGUUUAAGUAAAGGAGCACGGCGUGACGGUACCGAAUCAGCAAGCCCCGGCUAACUACGUG